GCGAAUGGUGGAUGCCUUGACUGGUAAAGGCGAUGAAGGACGUACUAGACUGCGAUAAGCUACGGGGAGCUGUCAAGAAGCUUUGAUCCGUAGAUUUCCGAAUGGGGCAACCCAAUGUAUAGAGAUAUACAUUACCUAUAUAGGAGCGAACGAGGGGAAUUGAAACAUCUUAGUACCCUCAGGAAAAGAAAUCAAUAGAGAUUGCGUCAGUAGCGGCGAGCGAAAGCGCAAGAGGGCAAACCCAGUGCUUGCACUGGGGGUUGUAGGACUGCAAUGUGCAAGAGGUAAGUUUAGCAGAACAUUCUGGAAAGUAUAACCAUAGAGGGUGAUAGUCCCGUAUGCGAAAAACAAACCUUAGCUAGCAGUAUCCUGAGUAGGGCGGGACACGAGGAAUCCUGUCUGAAUCCGGGUCGACCACGAUCCAACCCUAAAUACUAAUACCAGAUCGAUAGUGCACAAGUACCGUGAGGGAAAGGUGAAAAGAACUGAGGUGAUCAGAGUGAAAUAGAACCUGAAACCAUUUGCUUACAAUCAUUCAGAGCCCUAUGUAGCAAUACAGGGUGAUGGACUGCCUUUUGCAUAAUGAGCCUGCGAGUUGUGGUGUCUGGCAAGGUUAAGCAAACGCGAAGCCGUAGCGAAAGCGAGUCUGAAUAGGGCGCUUAGUCAGAUGCUGCAGACCCGAAACGAAGUGAUCUAUCCAUGAGCAAGUUGAAGCUAGUGUAAGAACUAGUGGAGGACUGAACCCAUAGGCGUUGAAAAGCCCCGGGAUGACUUGUGGAUAGGGGUGAAAGGCCAAUCAAACUUCGUGAUAGCUGGUUCUCUCCGAAAUAUAUUUAGGUAUAGCGUUGUGUCGUAAUAUAAGGGGGUAGAGCACUGAAUGGGCUAGGGCAUACACCAAUGUACCAAACCCUAUCAAACUCCGAAUACCUUAUAUGUAAUCACAGCAGUCAGGCGGCGAGUGAUAAAAUCCGUCGUCAAGAGGGAAACAACCCAGACUACCAGCUAAGGUCCCUAAAUCUUACUUAAGUGGAAAACGAUGUGAAGUUACUUAAACAACCAGGAGGUUGGCUUAGAAGCAGCCAUCCUUUAAAGAAAGCGUAAUAGCUCACUGGUCUAGUGAUUUUGCGCGGAAAAUAUAACGGGGCUAAAGUAAGUACCGAAGCUGUAGACUUGCACACAACUUAGAUUAUUUAAGUUUAGAAUAUUAAGAAACUAAGUUAUAUGUUUUAGUUAUAUUUUUACUGAUUUUUAUAGGGUAAAGAUAGAAAUAAAACUUAGUAAAAUCAGUAAAAAUAUUCUUAGGCUAAAGUUAAGUAGUUUAAGUUGUGUGCAAGUGGUAGGAGAGCGUUCUAUUUGCGUCGAAGGUAUACCGGUAAGGAGUGCUGGAGCGAAUAGAAGUGAGCAUGCAGGCAUGAGUAGCGAUAAUUAAUGUGAGAAUCAUUAACGCCGUAAACCCAAGGUUUCCUACGCGAUGCUCGUCAUCGUAGGGUUAGUCGGGUCCUAAGCCGAGUCCGAAAGGGGUAGGCGAUGGCAAAUUGGUUAAU
rnacentral:rRNA from 1 species